rnacentral:rRNA from 1 species
GCUACAGGCUUAACACAUGCAAGUCGAGGGGCAGCAUGGUCUUAGCUUGCUAAGGCCGAUGGCGACCGGCGCACGGGUGAGUAACACGUAUCCAACCUGCCGUCUACUCUUGGACAGCCUUCUGAAAGGAAGAUUAAUACAAGAUGGCAUCAUGAGUCCACAUGUUCACAUGAUUAAAGGUAUUCCGGUAGACGAUGGGGAUGCGUUCCAUUAGAUAGUAGGCGGGGUAACGGCCCACCUAGUCUUCGAUGGAUAGGGGUUCUGAGAGGAAGGUCCCCCACAUUGGAACUGAGACACGGUCCAAACUCCUACGGGAGGCAGCAGUGAGGAAUAUUGGUCAAUGGGCGAGAGCCUGAACCAGCCAAGUAGCGUGAAGGAUGACUGCCCUAUGGGUUGUAAACUUCUUUUAUAAAGGAAUAAAGUCGGGUAUGGAUACCCGUUUGCAUGUACUUUAUGAAUAAGGAUCGGCUAACUCCGUGCCAGCAGCCGCGGUAAUACGGAGGAUCCGAGCGUUAUCCGGAUUUAUUGGGUUUAAAGGGAGCGUAGAUGGAUGUUUAAGUCAGUUGUGAAAGUUUGCGGCUCAACCGUAAAAUUGCAGUUGAUACUGGCUAUCUUGAGUGCAGUUGAGGCAGGCGGAAUUCGUGGUGUAGCGGUGAAAUGCUUAGAUAUCACGAAGAACUCCGAUUGCGAAGGCAGCCUGCUAAGCUGCAACUGACAUUGAGGCUCGAAAGUGUGGGUAUCAAACAGGAUUAGAUACCCUGGUAGUCCACACGGUAAACGAUGAAUACUCGCUGUUUGCGAUAUACAGCAAGCGGCCAAGCGAAAGCGUUAAGUAUUCCACCUGGGGAGUACGCCGGCAACGGUGAAACUCAAAGGAAUUGACGGGGGCCCGCACAAGCGGAGGAACAUGUGGUUUAAUUCGAUGAUACGCGAGGAACCUUACCCGGGCUUAAAUUGCAGAUGAAUUACGGUGAAAGCCGUAAGCCGCAAGGCAUCUGUGAAGGUGCUGCAUGGUUGUCGUCAGCUCGUGCCGUGAGGUGUCGGCUUAAGUGCCAUAACGAGCGCAACCCUUGUUGUCAGUUACUAACAGGUUCCGCUGAGGACUCUGACAAGACUGCCAUCGUAAGAUGUGAGGAAGGUGGGGAUGACGUCAAAUCAGCACGGCCCUUACGUCCGGGGCUACACACGUGUUACAAUGGGGGGUACAGAGGGCCGCUACCACGCGAGUGGAUGCCAAUCCCAAAAACCUCUCUCAGUUCGGACUGGAGUCUGCAACCCGACUCCACGAAGCUGGAUUCGCUAGUAAUCGCGCAUCAGCCACGGCGCGGUGAAUACGUUCCCGGGCCUUGUACACACCGCCCGUCAAGCCAUGGGAGCCGGGGGUACCUGAAGUGCGUAACCGCGAGGAGCGCCCUAGGGUAAAACUGGUGACUGGGGCUAAGUCAUA